AUUUUAGAGAACAGUGGAGCUUAUCACUGUGAUUUGUUUUCCUCCUUAUGAAACUGAUCAAAAGCAUUUUUCAUUCAAAAUGUUAUAAAUAAUCUUGUCCACCAGGGCUUCCCCUGGUGGUUCAGACAGUAAAGAAUCCGCCCGCAUUGCGGGAGACCUGGGUUCCAUCCCUGGGUUGGGAAGAUCCGCUGGAGAAGGGAAAGGCUCCAUUGCUCUGACCUGGAGAAUUCCAUCAACUGUAUAGUCCAUGGGGUAGCAAAGAGUCGGACACGAGUGUGCGACUUUCACUUUUAUAUUGUUUUAACACUUUCAUGCAAAAUUAUAUCUGAGAGCAUUUAACAGUUCUUGAAGACGAGCUCUGUCGCCCUGGCGGGCCGCCCUCCUGUCCCACGCGGCGGGGCAGCGCCGGCCUCAACCCAGGAGAGCGUUCGGGGAGCGCGCGGGCGGCUGGCCCCUGCCGCGCGGGCUGGCGGGCGGCGGCGACGGGCGGCUCCGCGGUGUGGGGACCACACACCGCCCGCCCGCGCCCGGCCCCUUGUCCUCGCGCGGCGAAGGUCCCGCGCGGCGGCGCUGGCGGCGGGACACGGUGGGCCCUGCGCGAAUUACAGGCGUUCCUUCUGAGGCUCCAUGUUAAGCCUCUCCCGGACGCGCCCUCCCGGCUCCCCGUCCCCGAAAGCCGCACCCCGGGGCCCCAAGGAGCCGCGCUACCGGCCCGCACCCCGCGUUCCCGGCCCCGGGCCUCAGGCUGCGGCAUCGCCAGCCCCCAGCCGCCGCCGGGACCGCGCGCCCGCGCCGCGGUCUGGUUCCGGAGCGGGGGCAGCCUCGGAAGGAAUUUUAUUGGAAACAAGGGAGCAAUACAACAACUGAUUCGAAUAACCAACCUGCUUCAGUGUGAAAAAAAUUAAUGUGAAGUACUGGAGAAGUGGUGUUGAAUAUAUGCUCCGUCUUUUGUAAGUUAAUUACACUGUUCAAAACUGUUUACAAACAGUUCAGUUGAGGUCAGUUCAGUCGCUCAGUCAUGUCUGACUCUGAGACCCCAUGAAUUGCAGCACACCAGGCCUCCCUGUCCAUCAACUCCCAGAGUUGACCCAAAAUCCUGCCCAUCGACUCGGUGAUGCCAUCUAGCGAUCUCAUCCUCUAUCCUCCCCUUCUCUGCCUGCCCCCAGCAUUCUCUGAUGCCCUCCCAGCAUCAGAAUCUUUU
rnacentral:lncRNA from 1 species